UACGUAGGGUGCAAGCGUUGUCCGGAAUUAUUGGGCGUAAAGGGCUCGUAGGCGGUCCAUCGCGUCGGGGAGUGAAAAGCUGGGGCUCAACCCCAGUCCUGCUUCCGAUACGGGUGGACUAGAGGUAGGCAGGGGAGAACGGAAUCCUGGUGUAGCGGUGAAUGCGCAGAUAUCAGGAGGAACACCGGUGGCGAAGGCGGCACUCUGGGUCGGCCCUGACGCUGAGGCGCGAAAGCGUGGGGAGCGAACGGG
rnacentral:rRNA from 1 species